AACGAACGCUGGCGGCAGGCCUAACACAUGCAAGUCGAGCGAGAUCUUCGGGUCUAGCGGCGGACGGGUGAGUAACGCGUGGGAACGUGCCCUUUGCUACGGAAUAGCCCCGGGAAACUGGGAGUAAUACCGUAUGUGCCCUUUGGGGGAAAGAUUUAUCGGCAAAGGAUCGGCCCGCGUUGGAUUAGGUAGUUGGUGGGGUAAUGGCCUACCAAGCCGACGAUCCAUAGCUGGUUUGAGAGGAUGAUCAGCCACACUGGGACUGAGACACGGCCCAGACUCCUACGGGAGGCAGCAGUGGGGAAUCUUAGACAAUGGGGGAAACCCUGAUCUAGCCAUGCCGCGUGAGCGAUGAAGGCCUUAGGGUUGUAAAGCUCUUUCAGCUGGGAAGAUAAUGACGGUACCAGCAGAAGAAGCCCCGGCUAACUCCGUGCCAGCAGCCGCGGUAAAAC
rnacentral:rRNA from 1 species